GAUGAACGCUGGCGGCGUGCCUAAUACAUGCAAGUCGAGCGAACAGACGAGGAGCUUGCUCCUCUGACGUUAGCGGCGGACGGGUGAGUAACACGUGGAUAACCUACCUAUAGGACUGGGAUAACUUCGGGAAACCGGAGCUAAUACCGGAUAACAUGUUGAACCGCAUGGUUCAACAGUGAAAGACGGUCUUGCUGUCACUUAUAGAUGGAUCCGCGCCGCAUUAGCUAGUUGGUAAGGUAACGGCUUACCAAGGCAACGAUGCGUAGCCGACCUGAGAGGGUGAUCGGCCACACUGGAACUGAGACACGGUACAGACUCCUACGGGAGGCAGCAGUAGGGAAUCUUCCGCAAUGGGCGAAAUCCUGACGGAGCAACGCCGCGUGAGUGAAGAAGGUCUUCGGAUCGUAAAACUCUGUUAUUAGGGAAGAACAAAUGUGUAAGUAACUAUGCACGUCUUGACGGUACCUAAUCAGAAAGCCACGGCUAACUACGUG
rnacentral:rRNA from 1 species